rfam:Oryza nivara chromosome 3, whole genome shotgun sequence.
AAUAAAUGUAGUUCAGUACUAUUCACGUUCAACGUUUGACCGUUCGUCUUGUUUGAAAUUUUUUAUGAUUAGUAUUUUUAUUGCUAUUAGAUGAUAAAACAUGAAUAAUACUUUAUGUGUGACUAAAUAUUUUUAAAUUUUUCAUAAAAUUUUCAAAUAAGACGAACGGUCAAACGUUGGGUAUGGAUAUCCACGGCUAUACUUGUU